rnacentral:lncRNA from 1 species
UUUAGCAAACCUGGCAGCUCCCUUAGUCCCCUAUCUAUAGAAAAUUCAGAGCAUUUACACACAGCUUCUCCCUUCUGUAAGAAAAAGAAUUGAGGUAGGGAACAACAAUGAAAGCCGCAAUGGGAAACUUGACCAUGGAAUCAAAAUUUACAAAUUAGGAAACAACCCUAAUUUUUGAGAUGCCAAUAAAGAACCUUUGGUAGAUUAUUAACUUAAUUGUAAGGUGCCCAUGCAAACAUAGUGACAUUGAAAUUUAAAGAAAUGCAUCUUUGUUGUAUGAAAUUUACUGCUAUUGCAGCAUUUUCUGUAUUUCUGAUUCAUCUGUUUCAGUCUCCCAAUCAUCUUAACAUUUUAGCUCUCGCUAGUUUACCCAUGAAAACACGUCGAUUUACUAGGGUUCUUUCUAUUAUACUGGAGACUAGCAGAGAAAUUUUUUAUUAUAUUGGAGACUAGAAGAGAAAAUUCAAAUUAAACUCCAAUGUCCAAUCUUAAAAUCUGCUCUUUUUUUUUUUUUUUGCAAUUCACUGUUCUCAACGAUGAUACAUCAUUCCACUGCCGGAUUAGCACCAACUUGAAAGACAAUAGAAACCCAAGAGGAAAAAAAAAGCUUAAAACUGAAAUAAAAAUGGCAGAUAACUAAGUGGACCCUAAAAGUACACCGAUAUUAGCUAAGACAUUGAGAAACCUCGUAUAACAGAGGGGCUGAUGGUUCUGUCUACUUGGAUCUCUGUCUCAUCUUUCGGCGCUUCCGCUUCAGUCUUCUCAUGCGCUUCUUCUUCCACUGUUACAUAUCAUGUAAGAUGCCAUAAAUGAAACAUUAUUCAAAGAUCUAUUGUAUAAAUAAGAACAAAUUGAGACAAAAAGGAAAACAGUAUUACCUUGGCUCUCAUGGUGAUAGGAUAAAAGGAAACUUGAUGCCGCCUUCUCGGUUAUUCGUUGAACCCUAGCCGGAUGCAGAGGCGGCAAUCAAUUGCUGGCAAGGAUUUUUACCAUCUACACCAUUUAUAUAUAUAACCUAUACAGCCCUAGCAGGAAGGGAUACCGACCCGAUCCAGAUUCAACAAUAUUGGAUUACUUGAACUUGGGCCAACGGUUAGAAAAUAAUUUCUUUCCAAAUGACCCAAUAUCAUAUAUAGGUUUCCCUGAAAGAGAAGAACAUAUUGCUCCAAAUUGUUAUUUACUAAUUUAAAUUUAAUUUAAAAAUAUAGUGAAUUUGGGUUAAGGGUCGAGACGAAGAGUGGUAAAGCUGAUUAGCUCUGUUUGUUUCAGUGGAGGCUAAUUAAAUACAGGAAAACCAUGCAUCUGUGAAAUUUAAUUCCAGCAGGGCAGCUCAAUGGAUUUGCAUACGAUUUGCCAUGAUAUAUACAGUAUGGAUGGCAAUCGGUCGAGUUGGAUGGAUCUCAGGGCGAAGCCACAACAAUUUAAUUUUUUAAGGGCAGAAUGAAACUUUAAUUUUUUUUUUUCAGAAUGAAACUUUAAUUUUUUUUUAUAGUUUACAUAUUUAUAAUUUUUAAAAAAUUAAAUUAAAUUAAAUUUUUAUAAUUUUAUUUAUUUUUAUUAAUUUUAAAUUUUAAAAAAAUUAAGGGCCUAAAUAAUAAUUUUUUAUUUUAGGGGAGACCGGCCCCUGUCAACGCUUUAGAUUCGCCUCUAAUGGAUAUUGUUAUAUUAAUUACCUUUUCAUAAUUGGAUGUAUAAUCUUAAAAUUUAUUAUCACUUCCAUGGAUGUUGGAUGCAUAUUGCUUUUUAUUUUUAAUUUUUUUUCAAUAGUUUUAUAGUCAAGUAAAUAUUUAAACAUAAUUCUUCAAAAAAUAUUUAAACAUAAAAUAUAUUUUUUUUUCUACAUUACAUUUUUACCCUUUUAAUAGUUUAUAUAUACAAUAGUAAAAUGGUAAGUGUAUAUAGUGGACCGAGUAGGAGUUGAUACGAGCAACCCGACCCAACUCAAGGUCUAUAAUGGAAAUAGGCUUAAUUUUUAUAAAGCCCAAUCACAAAAUCCAAAUCCAAGCAAUUGAAAUCAAAACUCAAUUUAUUUGUUUAAGACUUUAUCACAAAUAAAUUUUGAGAAGAAGAAUUCAAGCUUCAAAACCAUGGAUUUUGGAGUUCAAUACGGAGUAAUGAUAAAUUAAAAGGGUCCAAUUUUAUUUGUGAACUUAAAAUCUCAAUUCAUGAUAACAAGCCCAUGUGGAAGAUAUUAACAAAUUUAGACAUUACACUUCAAGGAUCCCAUUCAAGCCCACAUGCGUGGCAAUGUUAUAAUCAGUCGAUUUGUAGUGCAUUUUUGAAAGGGAUUCGGGCAUUUUUAGGUCAAUAAGUCCUAAUAUUGACUGAAUAUUAUUCUCUUAGCUUCGCAAUGCACUUCGAAUCACUCAAUUUUUAGUUCAAUAACACAAAUUAUAGUAAAGACUAUGCACAUAGAAUUUUUGGACAAGAUUGUUAUGAGAAAUUAUGAGUUUUAGGCUUUAAUUUGAGUAUAAAUCAUAUUGCAUUCGAUAAUUAAACUUAAAUUUUAUUAUUUAUGAGUCAAAUAUUGUAUUUAUUAGGUUUUAUUAUUUAUUUAUUUCGAAUUUUAAAAUAUUUUGUUAGGUAUUUUAAGUUGUUUAAGAAUUUUAUAUUUGUUAGUAAACAAGAAAAUUAGUUAACCCAUAUAAAGUUCGUCAUUGUUAAUUAGAAACAAUUAUUUUUAAUUAAUAAAAAUUUCAAUUCUGAGAGUUAGUUCUUUUAUACAAUAUUUUGAGAGUUAGGUCAUUACUUGAAUUUGUUAGAUUUAUAUGUCAAAGGGUUCAAUUGAACACUUAUUCAUUUAUUCAUUGGUUUAACAAUAAGAUUGACACGAGGUUUAGAAUUCAAUCCCUAUCUUUAUAACUUUUUUUUCUAUUAUAGCGUAAUUGUUCAGGGUAAGGAGUAUAUAAAGCAAAUCUCAGGAAAUAGUAGAACAGAAUUCUGUGUUUGUAAUUUACUGUAUAAGGAUUGAAAGGCCAGCUUAAUUGCAUGCACUCAUAAAUAACUGGUUAAAAAUAGCAACUUAGCGUGCAUGAGGGGAUGGUAUGAUUUGCAUUAAUUAAUACCAAUAAAGUCUUUGCUUUGAUUUUUCCAAGUUAGCUGAAACUUCCAACAAGCCAAAGUUUUCAUGACCAUAACACUAAAGAAAAGCCGAUAGAAGAAGAGCAGUGAGUAUACACGAGAAGUUUACAGCAAACAAUAAUACACAAAGAAGGCAGCUUUAUCGUUGGUGAAAACUUACAUUCCUGAAGGUAAUUCGGAGGUUACUCGAUUCAAACACCAAUAAUAAUAGUUCACAAAGAAAGAAGCGGAAAAGGCAAACCAACUUCUUGUAAUAUGGCGUCCAAGACUGACUGCUCAAAACUCAGGCCUUUCAAGGGGAAAAUGAAAGAUUUGAUUGGUCUGCUCAAAAUUUCCAAGCUCACAUUAUAACUUGAUUGGGUGUCGAAUUGGUGGAAAUUUUAUUAACGAAAUUGAAAAUUCUAAUAGAGACUUUUUUUUUGCAAUUUUAUUCUCCAAUCUCCAUUGACUAUUCGAGUCUUCCUGCACAGCUUUAAAAGUUAUGCCGCAUCCAUUAAUAUGGAAACCUGUUUUUCUUUUUUCAUGAGAGAUUGAGUUAGUCAUUUCUCCUUCAUUGCUUUCCCUAUGACCUCUGCCAUUGUCUUUCUUUAUCCUCAGAAAAAAUGAGGAUUUCACUGCUUUCAGGGCUCUUCUUUUAUUCAUAUAUUGCAACUGUCUUUAUCAUCACUGCGGUUUUGGUUUCUGGAAAAUGUCAAAGCCAUCAGCAAGGGUUGCUGCUCGGAUUGAGGAAAGGCCUGAAUUCUUCUUUAUCUGCAAAGUUAUUGAACUGGGACCGAAGCAUGGAUUGCUAUUCUUGAGAUGGUAUAACCUGCGAUGAAAGUGGUCGGGUUAUUAUACUCAACUUGAGCAACCAAUUAAUUUCCGGAACAAUUGAUAAUUCGAGUGGUCUUUUCAAUUUUCAGCAUCUUCAGCAGCUUAAUUUGGCUUAUAUUAUAACACACUCAGCUUCAGUUUUCCUUGUGGGUUUGACAAGUUGUGAUUAGCAUAGAUGUUGUUUUUGAUGAAAUUGCUAUGCUACCUAACUUAUCUCUUAAAGGCUCUUCCAAUAAAGAAAACCAAAAGCAGGUAGAACAUCAAAUUAAUCCAGAUAGAGUUGCUUCUUCACCACAAUACUCUAUCGCCAAAAAUAGAACUAGAAGAGAAAUUAAACAUCUAAAGAAGUAUGUUAAGUCUAAUCUAGUUGCAAAGGGUUACACUCAAAUUUUAGGAGCGGACUUCACAUAUGUGUUCUCCCUAGUUGUAAAGUAUAGUUCGAUUUGAGCUUUGCUUGAUAUUAUGGCCAUGCAUGAUUUGGAGCUUGACCAGUUAGAUGUAAAAACUAUUUUUGUAUGGAGAGCUUGAUGAGGAUAUUUACAUGUAACAACUAGAGGGUUUUACAGUCUCAGAAAAAGAGGACUAUGUUUGCUUGCUGAAAAAGUCUCUUUACAGUUUUAAACAGUCACCAAGACAGUGGUACAAUAGGUUUGAUUCAUUUAUGACUUCUCAUUAUUUUAAAAGAAGUAUCUUUGACAGUUGUGUUUAUUUUAAGAAAAACAAUGAUGGUUCUUUUAUGUAUCUACUCCUUUAUGUUAAUGACAUGUUAAUAGCAGCGAAAGAUAAAUGAGAGAUAAGAAAGGUCAAAACUCAACUAAGUG